rnacentral:lncRNA from 1 species
AUGUGAUUUACUACCUUCCUGGUAAACCAAACAGGAAUGAAUAUAUCAAGCUAAAAGGUAUUAUUUAAGAUGUUGUUUGAUAAUUACAAGAUAAAGUCUUCUUUAACAUGUUUAGCUAUGUUUAAUAUACUUCGUAAUAUAAUUAAGGAUGGCCUAAAUGCGUAAAAUUUAUACAACUUUAUUAUUUGAACUUUCGUUUUGAGAUUGUGCAUAAUACAAUCAUAUAUUAAUUUAUGACCUUUUAUCUUAUAUAUAUAUAGGUUUUUGUUCUAAAGUAAUAUAUUGUUGUCCCUCGCACAAGGCGUUUCGGGGUACAUGGCAACACCGGGUGUCCAUUGGCGGAUCCAGGGUGGGUUCCGGGGGUUGGAACCCCCCUUUUUUGGACGAUCAAUGCAUUUGAAUGGGAGCAUAUAGUUGGAACUCCCCACCCCCUUUACUCUUGGUUGGGACCCCCCUUUUUUAAAAUGGCUGGAUCCGCCCCUGGUGUCCGUUCGUCCGUCUGGCCGUCUGGCCGUCCGCUCGCGUGUACCUCAGGCGUGUACAAUACUUGUCAGAUCUUUAUAAUACUUACAUCAUAUGUUUAUAUUUGCAAUGUUUUAAACAAAUCAUAUGAAAAUCAAAGAAGACCAAUCCUUUUUAAAAGAGUUGUGCUCCUUUGAAAAGCACGAAAAGCGGAGCCCCUUAGAAACAUUAAUUACGUAAGCGCUCUCAUAUGUGUUAAAUUUUUGCUUCCGAUAUAUUUAGGAAACUUAUCAUAUCAUAGGUUCUAUAUCACAUGUAUCAGUAAUGUCUCUGACGAAUUCAAAAUUCAGUGCCGAUCGAUUAUUUUUAAAAGAGUUAGACCCCUUUGAAAUAAUGAGUAUAUGGAAAACUGCAUUGUCAGCGUUCUCAUGUGAACAAUUACUAUCAGAAUUUUAUUCAUGUUAUUCAUAACCUUCCUGGUAAAUCAAACGGAAAUUUAUAUAUAUCAAGUUGAAAGGUAUGUUUUUAGAUGUUGUUCGAUAUUUUCCAGAUUAAUUCUUAUUUAACAUGUUUAGUUAUGUCAAAUGUACUUCUUAAUAUAAGGAUACCUAAAUACGUGAACUUUAUAAAAGUUUAUUAUUUCAACUUUUGUAUUGGGAUUCGGUAUGACCAUUUAGGUUAUGUUUUAGUUUUAAUGAAAGAUAUGGUUGUCUCUCGCACAAGGCGUUGCGCCUGACAUAGAAACAGCGGGCGCCCGUCCGUCAGGUCUUUUUAGCGUUCUCACGUGUACAUUUCUUGCCAGAUUAUUAUCAUAUAGGUUUGUAUCAGCAAUAUGACUUUAACAAGUUCGAAAAUUAAUGCCGAUCAUUUAUUUUUAAAAAGAGUUAUGCUCCUUACAAAAGUUAUAAAAUCAGUGCCGAUCAAUUAUUUUCAAAAGAUUUAUGCUCCUUGGAAACAUAAUUUAUUAUAUUGGACAAUUGCGUCGUUAGAGCUCUCAUGUGUUCAAUCCUUGCUAUAUUACUUAUAAAACUUCAAUCAUAGGUUUCAGAAAUAUCGUUGACACUUUUGAAAAUAAGUACUGGUGAAUCAUUUUAACUAGUUAUGCCCCUUGGGAAUAUUAAUUAUAACUUAAAUCACAUUUCAUUUGCUCUGAAGCAUUAUGAAAUAAGUCAGAUUAAUUUCUAUUUUGGAUUAUACACUUUUGAUAAUGAAGUUUGAAGGUUUUGAUUGGUAAAAGAGGGACGAAAGAAACCAGAGGGAGUCAAACUCAUAGAUAGAAAAUAAACUGACAACGCCAUGGUUAAAAAUAAAAAGACAAACAGACAAAUAAUAGUACAAAAGACACAACAUAGAAAACUAAAGACUAAGCAACACGAACCCACCAAAAACUGGGGUGAUCUCAGGUGCUCCGGAAGUGUAAGCAGAUCCUGCUUUAUAUGUGGCUCUCGUCGUGUUGCUUAUGGUAUUCCAAAAUCCGGUAAAUAGUCUAACUUGGUAGGUCACAUUUGUGAAAAGGGAAGGGUAUUGUAAUUACGACAUAACGAACAUAUCCGAUAUCAUCUGUGAAACGGUUAUUCCAUAACGGUCAACCACUCGUGAUGGCGUCCGUAAAAUUUACGAAGGGAUGCUUUCAACUUCACCACUUGGAACUCUUUGUUUAAUAGUUUCCUUGUGAGUAACAAUCCUCUAUCAAUGAAAUAUCGUAUCAAUUGGGAGAUAUAUACUCCGUAUGUAGGCGCUGCUGGAAUGUGGUAGGGGUGCUGCUGCUUUUAAAGAGCUAAUGUUAUGAAUUAUUAUUAAUCAUUGAAUAUCAUUUUGUAGCUUGUGUCUAAUGGCGACAUCCUCUCCAAGCUGUGGUGUUUGUGACCUCCGUCACAACACAAAACCAUCCAUAGUCUGGUGUACAGAAUGUGACGAGGGACUAUGUACAGAAUGCCAGGAACAUCAUAGCUUGUCAAAAGCAUCGAGAAAUCAUAACGUGAUACCUAUUAAUGAAUACCAGAAAUUACCAAUUGAUGUAUUAAAAAUUACUCAGUACUGUAGCAUACACGACGAAAAGUUUCAGAUAUAUUGCCAAAAACAUGAAUGUCCCUGCUGCAGCAAGUGUGUUGUAGAAAGCCACAAAUUAUGCCAAGAUAUCGUCAAUUUAGAUGACGUCAUUCAAAAUGCAAAAACUUCCAAUGCAUUUAGUGAGAUAGAGGAAACAUUAGUUGAAGUUACAGAAAAUCUACAGAAAAUUCGCCAUCAUCAACAGAACAAUCAGUCGACUUUGAAAGAAAAGAGGAAAGAAAUCGAAAAAGAAAUAAAGAAGACCAGAAUGAAGAUCAAUAGCCAUCUCGACAAACUGCAAGAAGAUUUGAUGAAACAACUCUAUGGGCUGGAAGAAAAAGAAAACUCGAAAAUAUGUCAGUUAUUGUCAUCAUUAGAUAAAAACCAAAAAGAAAUAGCAGAAUGCCAGACAAAAAUUGGGAAUAUAAAAACACAUGCAACGGACCUUCAGAUGCUUCUUUCAAUGAGGCAAAUAGAGAAAGACGUUUAUAGCAAAGAAAAAUUCCUGCAGUCGCUUGUAGAAGGCGAACAUUUGACGAUGAAUUCUCUUUCAUAUAAGAUCAACACCUCUAUCCAGAAUAUUAUGUCUGAAAUCAUAAGCUUUGGAGAAGUGCGUAUGGAAUCUAAAUCGUGCGAUAUCCUUCUGAUGCAGAAAAAGGUAAAACAAGCUCAAAUGAUGGUACCAACCGUUCAAUCAAGAUCCAUUGAAAAUAUAAAGCUAACAAUACACAAGACCAUCAACACUAAGCAUUCCUACAUUUAUGGAUGUUGCAUGCUGCCUGAUGGUAGAAUAGCAAUAUCUUACACCGAUUACAACUCUGUUAAAGUAUUCAACGAUAAAGGAUCAGAAGACUUUGAGGUGAAGAUACCGCAUUACCCGUUUGAUGUAGUGUACAACAGUGCGGACAAUACAUUGGCUGUUACAUCUGGUAGUUCAAGGAUGAAGUGUAUUUCUAUUAUAGACUUGGAAAAGAAACAAAUCAAGAAAACAAUUUCUCUAGAUUCCAACAUUUAUGGCAUAGCACUGAAAGGUAAUCGAUUGAUUUAUUCCGCUUACGACAUAGGGAUACGAAUGAUCAAUCUGUUCGAGGAGUCUAUAAGUGAUAUAAUUCGAGAAAAAAUGCCCAGUUACUGUUACGUUGCAACAUUUAAAAACAAAAUAUAUCAUACAAACAAUUCAUCACACGCUGUUACAUGUUUUAAUUUCCAAGGUGAAAUACAAUGGAAAUUCCAAAAUGAAAGCGUUCUGUUUGAUCCUCGUGGUAUUGAUGUAGAUAAUGCUGGUAAUGUGUACGUGGUGGGGUACUGGUCGCACAAUGUGGUAGUUAUCUCCCCUGAUGGACAACGACAUAGAGAAAUAUUGACAGCAAGUGAUGGUCUUUGCAAUCCUACAUCACUUUGUUUUAGUCAAACAAAGAAUCAGUUGCUUGUUGCGAACUACAACAACAACAAGGCUCACUUGUUUAAUAUUGUUUGAAAAGAUUCGAGCAUAAACUGCUCUCACUUUGUGUCAGUCUGUAAAAUGUUUAAAAUUACUGGUUUUGAAAUUAUUUUUUUUAAUUUAUAUUUUAGUUAACUAUUUAUCCAAUGCAUAUUGUAGUAUUUGUUCAAAAUAAAGUUUG